AUUCUAUAAAAUGUAAAUACACUGAACUCAUUUGGAUAUAUUUAAGUGAGACUCUACAAUAUUAUUUGACACAAAUCUAUCUAAAUCAAAAUUUUAAUAAUUUUCACGCCAAACAUUUACUGGACUGAUUUAAAUAUUAAAAUCACUCCUUUCUAAUCCUCUGCUGUACGUUCAAACCUGAGGCCUUAAAUAGAAACACACAAGUAUCUGUUUGAAGGAACUUCUGCAGAGUCCUGGUUCCAGAACAUGAUGAUAGAAUUAUAGACAAACUUUAACAAAAGCUGCCUGAGAGUUUACAGGUUUUUAUGUUGGAUUUCUUCAGUAAUUUAAUGAGCGUUAUCAGCAAUAAUCAAGUGUUCAUUUGAUGAACUUCAUUUCCUAAAACAUCCAGAAUUGGAGCUCAUAUCUUUGGCAGCUGUAAAGUUUCUGCUCCUUCAAAGUUCACAACACAAUGAAUGAAUUCCUAAAACACUCUCAAUGCUGGAGAGCGUUUGUGAUGCUGAAGCAGUGACCAGUUUUUCUGUUUCUUCUCUGGAGAUGCACAAUGAGGGACGUCUGCAGCGACUGAGAAAGAGUCUCACCACAUCCUGACAUGAGGAAAAAGACUUUAUUGAAGACUACAAUGAGAAAAACUAUCAGACAGCAGACGGCUGCAUUCAAGAGAGGAAGACCAUCAAACAUCCACGUCAGCUGAUGGAGGUCCAAGAGUCUCACCAAACAACCAACCUACAGAGUGAAGACCUCAAAUCUAAUUGGACGGCCUCCUAUUCAGCCACGUGUGAACAAAUGCCUCUAAAUUGUUCCAGAUAAGACAAGUACAAGAUUCUUCAGAGCCGUUCUACCACGAGCCUGACAGGAAGA
ensembl:lncRNA